rnacentral:rRNA from 1 species
UUGGGAGUAAAAAAUCGUAACAAGGUUUCCGUAGGUGAACCUGCGGAAGGAUCAUUAUUGAAUAAACUUGGUUGGGUUGCUGCUGGCUCCUAGGAGCAUGUGCACGCCUAUUCCAUCUUUAACCCCCCUGUGCACCUUGUGUACAUCUGAACCACAUUUCGAGGAGCCCCCUCGGUCAUAGAAUUGCUGUGUCGCAUGGCGAGCUUUUCUUGUUAGUUUCAGAUCUACGUCUUCUACACACCCUUUUAAAUGAAUGUAUUUGAAUGUUGAUCAUGUAAUAAAUGUCAUACAACUUUCAACAACGGAUCUCUUGGCUCUCGCAUCGAUGAAAAACGCAGCGAAAUGCGAUAAGUAAUGUGAAUUGCAAAAUUCAGUGAAUCAUCGAAUCUUUGAACGCACCUUGCGCUCCUUGGUAUUCCGAGGAGCAUGCCUGUUUGAGUGUCAUGAAAUUCUCAACCUUUCCGGCUUUUGCUGGUUCAGGAUUGGAAUGUGGGAGCUGCUGGUUAUUCUACAGUAAUCAGCUCUUCUGAAAUGCAUUAGCAAGAUCAUUGCUGAUCAUCUCUGGUAUGAUAAUUAUCUAUACCACCGACAGACCAGCCUUUGAGAUUUUGCUUCUAACCGUCUCUUUCAUCUGGGACACAACCAUGACUACUUUGACCUCAAAUCAGGUAGGACUACCCGCUGAACUUAAGCAUAUCAAAAACCGGAAGGAA